UACACAACAAGGCUUUUAAACAUUCCGCAAAAUGAAGAUUUUACCAGCUGUAAUAUAUUCAUACAAGAACUGUUUCCAAAAAUAUAUAUAGCAUUGUAAAUUUCACUUGCAUCUUAUUCUUGAGUCCGUACUUCUGCUAGACAGCGAAAUAAGCUAUAAUCACAUUAAAAUCUCAGCAGAGGUGAUAUAUCACAUUUGCGUAGGAUACGCUGUAUACAAAGGACAUGUGACAACUGUUAAAAAUGGCUCAUUUUAAAAGCUGCAUGAAAUGAGAAAGAAUGGGAAAAGGUGAAGGAAGCCCGUGUCUCUUGAGUAAGAGGUUUUUGUACGGCUGGUGAAUGAGUCUGUAUCACUGUGGUACACUUUCGGUGGCGGAACGAAGCUGUCAAUUGGACGUGACACAGUUCCCACCCUCACAGUCCUGCCCCCCUCCAGUGUGAAGCUAGAGAAGGGAAAGGCCACACUGGUGUGUCUGGCCAACAAGGGCUUCCCCUCAGACUGGACUCUGCGCUGGAAAGUGGACGGUGCCAGCAGGAGCUCGGGCGUGGCCGGGAGCGUGGGGGUCCUGGGGAAGGACGGUCUGUACAGCUGGAGCAGCUCCCUGACUCUCAGUGAGGAAGACUGGAUGAAGGCAGGGUCACUGACCUGUGAGGCCACAAAGGGCUCCCUGUCUGCCCCCCCUCAGACACUGAGCAGAGCCCACUGUUCUUAGUAGGCCGGGUGGAGGCCCAGCUCACACACUGUGAUCACACUGUUUUUACCCUGUUCUGCUCCUUACUGCUGUCACACUGAGCUGAGCCUGUGUGUGAAUCCUUCCUCCAGCCUGAGCUUUCAGUGCUAAUAUCUUACAUCUGCUCUGCUUGUGUUCUUCAGCAAUAUGCAAACAUGCAUUCUUAUUUGUGUUUCUGUGACUUUGGCAAUAGCUGUUAAAUCAACAUCAUUGACAUAAUAAAGAUUAUUUGAAUA